GAUGAACGCUGGCGGCGUGCUUAACACAUGCAAGUCGAACGGAAAGGCCCAAGCUUGCUUGGGUACUCGAGUGGCGAACGGGUGAGUAACACGUGGGUGAUCUGCCCUGCACUUCGGGAUAAGCCUGGGAAACUGGGUCUAAUACUGGAUAGGACCACUUCUUGGAUGUUGUGGUGGAAAGUUUUUUCGGUGUGGGAUGAGCUCGCGGCCUAUCAGCUUGUUGGUGGGGUAAUGGCCUACCAAGGCGUCGACGGGUAGCCGGCCUGAGAGGGUGUACGGCCACAUUGGGACUGAGAUACGGCCCAGACUCCUACGGGAGGCAGAGGUGGGGAAUAUUGCACAAUGGGCGCAAGCCUGAUGCAGCGACGCCGCGUGGGGGAUGACGGCCUUCGGGUUGUAAACUCCUUUCGCUAGGGACGAAGCGUUUUGUGACGGUACCUGGAGAAGAAGCACCGGCUAACUACGUG
rnacentral:rRNA from 1 species